rnacentral:rRNA from 1 species
UAGAGUUUGAUCCUGGCUCAGGACGAACGCUGGCGGCGUGCUUAACACAUGCAAGUCGAGCGGUAAGGCCUUUCGGGGUACACGAGCGGCGAACGGGUGAGUAACACGUGGGUGAUCUGCCCUGCACUUCGGGAUAAGCCUGGGAAACUGGGUCUAAUACCGGAUAUGACCUCCUAUCGCAUGGUGGGUGGUGGAAAGAUUUAUCGGUGCAGGAUGGGCCCGCGGCCUAUCAGCUUGUUGGUGGGGUAAUGGCCUACCAAGGCGACGACGGGUAGCCGACCUGAGAGGGUGACCGGCCACACUGGGACUGAGACACGGCCCAGACUCCUACGGGAGGCAGCAGUGGGGAAUAUUGCACAAUGGGCGAAAGCCUGAUGCAGCGACGCCGCGUGAGGGAUGACGGCCUUCGGGUUGUAAACCUCUUUCAGCAGGGACGAAGCGCAAGUGACGGUACCUGCAGAAGAAGCACCGGCUAACUACGUGCCAGCAGCCGCGGUAAUACGUAGGGUGCAAGCGUUGUCCGGAAUUACUGGGCGUAAAGAGUUCGUAGGCGGUUUGUCGCGUCGUUUGUGAAAACCAGCAGCUCAACUGCUGGCUUGCAGGCGAUACGGGCAGACUUGAGUACUGCAGGGGAGACUGGUAUUCCUGGUGUAGCGGGUGAAAAUGCGCAUAUAUCAUGAGGAACACCGGUGGCGAAGGCG